rnacentral:rRNA from 1 species
UACGGAAGGUCCGGGCGUUAUCCGGAUUUAUUGGGUUUAAAGGGAGCGCAGGCGGGAGAUUAAGCGUGACGUGAAAUGUAGCCGCCCAACGGCUGACCUGCGUCGCGAACUGGUUUUCUUGAGUUCACGGAAGGCGUGCGGAAUUCGUGGUGUAGCGGUGAAAUGCUUAGAUAUCACGAAGAACUCCGAUUGCGAAGGCAGCUCGCCGUAGUGUUACUGACGCUGAGGCUCGAAGGUGCGGGUAUCGAAC